CUAGUGUUGGCGUUGUAGAGCAGGAGACGUUGCGAUGCCAGAGAUUAUUGAGGUUGUGAGUGUUCGGUAAAUUAAUGAUCGAGGAAUGACCAAGUGAUUCUAAGUUACUGUUAUGUUCCAAAACGAUGAAGAAUAUCGAUAAGACUUCGAAAGCGUGUGAAAAACAGAGAAA